rfam:Candidatus Kaiserbacteria bacterium RIFCSPHIGHO2_01_FTLL_53_29 rifcsphigho2_01_scaffold_1511, whole genome shotgun sequence.
GCGUCGGUGGCAGAGUGGUCAAAUGCACCUGGCUGUAGACCAGGCGACUUCGGUCUUCGCAGGUUCGAAUCCUGCCCGGCGCA